rfam:Lucilia cuprina strain LS Scaffold1608, whole genome shotgun sequence.
CCCGCUGUUCCGUCAGCGGUAGCCUACUGAUCCAGGAUCGAUGGGUAACUGUUGGGUCUGAAGCGAUUGGGAUAAUGUAGCAGGGGCUGCAAGUACCAAUGCGGCUCAGGCG